CGCCGCUGUCACACUCGCACACACGCGCGCACGCAGAUGGCAACACCGCGUCCCGGAGCCCCUGCGCAGCCCAUUGGCCGGGCGGCGGCGGUAUGCAAAUGAGGCCGCCGGGGCCGCCCACGCCUCAUUGUUGCGUGGAGACCCGGGGGCCGCGCGGCGGGGUGGCGGGGCCGGCGUGGGGAGCUCCCGGGUGCGGGUCGGGGCAGACCCACGCAGGGCCGCCUGCGGGCGGGGGGCUGCAGCAUGGCCACGCGCGGGGAGGGAGGGCGCGCCUCUCCUGCUUCUGGGACUCGGUGCGAAACCUGCUCCUGCUCGCCCGCAGCACGCCUCCCCCAGGCGCAGUUUGGGUGGGGGUCGGUUUUCAGGCAGGGACGCUCCCCAAGUCCGCCUAGAGUGCUCGCUAAGCGCAGGGGUCUCCAAGGAGCUGUGAACCCCGUGCUCCCCACCCCGGAGGAACCACCACGAGUGGGACCCCGCCCCCUCGUUGCUGGUCCAUUUCAUUCCAAUUCUGAGUGUUCCCCUUUGAAGGCCUCUCAAGAUACCCUGCACCAGCAACAGAGCUAAGAUCUGAGGAAUGGAGAUUGGAAAGAGCCUCCCAGACAGAAGGGAGAGUGUGGCAAAGGGCCCAUGGAUGCAGAGAGGGCACAGACCUGAAAGAAAACCAGAGUGCUGGUCCAGUUCUGAAGUCAGAGGAAAUGUGGUGUGAAAUAAGGCUGGAGCAAUAGGUGAGGCCAGACUGUCCAGAGCCUUGUGAGUUCUGUUAGAGAUCUGAGUCUGAAUCCUAAAAAUAGUGAGGAAUUGAAAACUUUUAAAGCAGUAAGCAGAUGAGUGGCUUGAUCGUGUUGGCUGCAAUUGUGGAGGAGCUGUGGCAUGGGUAGAAGUUUGGAGGGGCCCUGAGGUGGAGGCAACAUUUCAGACAUGAGGCACUGGCAGAUGAGCCAAGUUCCUGGGAGGUAGAAGUGAAUGGACUCCAGAAACAUCCUCAUGCAACAGGGUGACUGGGUGACAGGCUGAGUGAGGGAAGGAAGUGACCUUCUAGCCUUUGAGGCUGCCAGUAGCUCAGCUUGUCUCCUUCUCCCCCUGGGAAGGGGCGAAAGUAGCGUCAAAUGCUAAACUCACACUUGGGUUUUCCUUUGCCUCCAAGAUCUUGACAUGAUUCACUCUCCACUGCUUAUUUCAGGUCACUGAGGCCUCACUCUGUCCAGUCUCUCUAGCUGUUCUUGGAGGGAGUCUUGUUGCCCUGUUAUUAGCUGACGUGAAGAUGCAGAGUCUGAGUCUACCCCAGAGAUUCUGAUCCCUGCUCCUGUUUCCUCACAGGGCCACUGAAUGGGAGUUGGGAGGCAAAAAAGUAUCAACUGGCAUUGUGCCAAAAUCAAGAAAAAUUAUACCAUUGUGUUUGUCAUUAUCCAUGAAUUGCCCAACACAAUCCUACUAUCCAUUCCUCUUGCUCUUCCUGGCUUAUAUACUUUGAAUGCCUCUUCAUACACACUGAUCUUGGUUUUUCUCAUUUAAUACAGAUGUAUUAAGUAGUUAUUAUAUGUCAGCACUUUCUGAAGAUGCAAGAAUGAACAUAGCAGAUCCCAAAUCUUCACAUUUUCAUGGGAGAAAGACAGACAAUAAAUUUAUGGAACAUUUCA
ensembl:lncRNA